AAGCAUAUUAAUAAGCGGAGGAAAAGAAACUAACCAGGAUUCCCCUAGUAACGGCGAGUGAAGCGGGACCUGCUCAGGAUGUGAAUCUGCGCUUUUUUGCGCCGAAUUGUGGUCUGGAGACGGUGAUGUUACUGGCCGGGCCAAGUUCCUUGGAAAAGGACAGCUGAGAGGGUGAGACUCCCGUCCGCCUGGCUAGAUGAGUCGCCUGUCUACGAGUCGAGUUGUUUGGGAUUGCAGCUCAAAGUGGGUGGUAAAUUCCAUCUAAAGCUAAAUAUUGGUGGGAGACCGAUAGCGUACAAGUACCGUGAGGGAAAGAUGCAAAGAACUUUGAAAAGAGAGUUAAAGAGUACCUGAAAUUGCUGAAAGGGAAGCGAAGGAAACCAGUGUUUGCUUGGUCAUAUUUCCCUGACCGCUUGCGGUUUGGGCGCUGUGUCCGGCUUGUGUUGCGCUUGGUUGGAAUUUUCGGAAGAGCGCUGUUAGAGUUGAUUUCAGUUGCUAGCGUUAAUUCUGACUGAGCGGGACGAAAUGGUUUUCUUUACCCCGUCUUG
rnacentral:rRNA from 1 species